rnacentral:rRNA from 1 species
AUUGAACGCUGGCGGCAUGCCUUACACAUGCAAGUCGAACGGCAGCGCGGGGCAACCUGGCGGCGAGUGGCGAACGGGUGAGUAAUAUAUCGGAACGUGCCCUGGAGUGGGGGAUAACGCAGCGAAAGUUGCGCUAAUACCGCAUACGAUCUAAGGAUGAAAGCGGGGGAUUCGCAAGAACCUCGUGCUCCUGGAGCGGCCGAUAUCUGAUUAGCUAGUUGGUGGGGUAAAGGCCUACCAAGGCAUCGAUCAGUAGCUGGUCUGAGAGGACGACCAGCCACACUGGAACUGAGACACGGUCCAGACUCCUACGGGAGGCAGCAGUGGGGAAUUUUGGACAAUGGGCGCAAGCCUGAUCCAGCAAUGCCGCGUGCAGGAUGAAGGCCUU